rnacentral:lncRNA from 1 species
UAUGUAUUUCUAAUUAAGAGAUCAAGAGGCAUGUAAAAUUUUAAGUAAGAUCAAUAAUUUAGUCAAUAGAUAUUGAGGUUCUAAAAUUAUCCUAGGGUUGAUUUGAAUUGAUUAUAUUUUAAUUAGGAUUUGAUUAGGAAUUGAUUAGGAUUUGGUUUAGGAUUUAGAAUUUAAUUAGAAUUUGAUAUAGGAUUUAGAAUCUAAUUAGGAUUGAUUUAGGAUUAAGGAUCUAAUUAAGAUUGAUUUAAGAUUUAAGAUUUUUUUGAAAUUCUUUAGGAUUAUUUUAGGAUUUUUUAAAGAUUUCUUUGAGGAUUCUUUUGGAUUUUAUAAGGAUUUUUUAAAGGUUUUUUAAAUAUAUUUUU